rnacentral:rRNA from 1 species
CCUACGGGAGGCAGCAGUGAGGAAUAUUGGUCAAUGGGCGGGAGCCUGAACCAGCCAAGUCGCGUGAGGGAAGACGGUCCUAUGGAUUGUAAACCUCUUUAGGCGGGGAGCAAUGCCGGGCACGCGUGCCCGGAGGGAGAGUACCCGCAGAAUAAGCAUCGGCUAACUCCGUGCCAGCAGCCGCGGUAAUACGGAGGAUGCGAGCGUUAUCCGGAUUGAUUGGGUUUAAAGGGUGCUUAGGCGGAUUUUUAAGUCAGCGGUAAAAUGUCCGGGCUCAACCCGGGCCGGCCGUUGAAACUGGGGAUCUUGAGUGGGCGAGAGGUAUGCGGAAUGCGUGGUGUAGCGGUGAAAUGCAUAGAUAUCACGCAGAACUCCGAUUGCGAAGGCAGCAUACCGGCGCCCGACUGACGCUGAGGCACGAAAGCGUGGGGAUCGAACAGGAUUAGAUACCCCUGUAGUC